rnacentral:rRNA from 1 species
AUUGAACGCUGGCGGCAGGCCUAACACAUGCAAGUCGAACGGUAGCACAGAGAGCUUGCUCUCGGGUGACGAGUGGCGGACGGGUGAGUAACGUCUGGGAAACUGCCCGAUGGAGGGGGAUAACUACUGGAAACGGUAGCUAAUACCGCAUAACGUCGCAAGACCAAAGUGGGGGACCUUCGGGCCUCACACCAUCGGAUGUGCCCAGAUGGGAUUAGCUAGUAGGUGGGGUAAUGGCUCACCUAGGCGACGAUCCCUAGCUGGUCUGAGAGGAUGACCAGCCACACUGGAACUGAGACACGGUCCAGACUCCUACGGGAGGCAGCAGUGGGGAAUAUUGCACAAUGGGCGCAAGCCUGAUGCAGCCAUGCCGCGUGUAUGAAGAAAGCCUUCGGGUUGUAAAGUACUUUCAGCGGGGAGGAAGGCGGUGAAGUUAAUAACUUCACCGAUUGACGUUACCCGCAGAAGAAGCACCGGCUAACUACGUGCCAGCCGCCGCCGUAA